UACGGGGGAUCCGAGCGUUAUCCGGAUUUAUUGGGUUUAAAGGGAGCGUAGGUGGAUUGUUAAGUCAGUUGUGAAAGUUUGCGGCUCAACCGUAAAAUUGCAGUUGAAACUGGCAGUCUUGAGUACAGUAGAGGUGGGCGGAAUUCGUGGUGUAGCGGUGAAAUGCUUAGAUAUCACGAAGAACUCCGAUUGCGAAGGCAGCUCACUGGACUGCAACUGACACUGAGGCUCGAAAGUGUGGGUAUCAAACAGG
rnacentral:rRNA from 1 species